rnacentral:lncRNA from 1 species
GGUAGUACUUGGCCAAACCCAUAACAGUGCUGCUUGGUUCCCAAUGUGGAUGAUGAAGAAGAAGGAGAAGAACAAGAUGAUGAUGAUGAUGAAGAAGAGGAAGGAUUAUAAGAUAUUGAUGAAGAAGGGGAUGAGGAUGAAGGCGAAGAAGAGGAAGAUGAUGAUGACGUUGAGGAAGGAGAGGAGGAUGAAGGAGAAGAUGACUAACAGAACACUGAUGUUCUGAACAAUUUUUUUUUUAAUUUUCUCCAGUCCCUGGGAGCAAGUUGCAGUCUUUUUUCUUUUUUCCCCUCUUGUGCUCAGUCGCGCUGUUCUUGAGGUCUCUUUUCUCUACACCAUGGUUUUCAACUUAUUUGGGGGGAAAUGCCUUGAGCAUAAUACAAUGGGAAAAUAUUCUCUACCCCUUUCUCUUCAGAAUUCAUUCUUAUCUCUUCCUGUCUGAACAAAAACUGUAUGGAAUCAACACCACCAAGUUCUGUGGGAGAAAAGAAAAACCUUCUCCCUUUGCUCUGCUGGAAGCUGGAGAGUGCCAGACCCCUGUGUAGCAGUGCAUAGAAUUCUAGCUUCUUUUCUCCUUUCUCUGUAUAUUGGGUUCAGAGAGUACCGUGUGUCUCUGUGUGAAUAUGGACCAUCAUUUAUCAACAUGUAUCUGUCUACUUUCUCUUGUUUAAAAAAAGAAAAAAAAACCUGUAAAAAAUGAGGUUAUAGAAAGUCAUCAAAGGCUUCUGCUUAAGCAUGCAGGUGAGAAGGGAAGAUACAUGUAAUCUGCAUGUCUGCCACCAUUCCUUGUUACCCUUUUUCAUAUCCCAUGAGCACAGCACUCCAGCGGACCUACCCAAAAUAUGUGGGAGUUCAGUGAAACUCAAACAGCAUGCUUCUGGUCAGCCUAUACAGUCUCUGUCCUGGUGAGGAGCAUG